AAAUUAGCACGUUAGCACGUUAUUGUAAUAUCCCAUAGUACAUACAUGUUAUUAAAACUUGAACUAAUGCACUUUGAGUCUUAUAAAUUGCUUACAUACCUCACCGAUUUCUGCAUGUCUGGAAAACGCUUGGAUUUAGUUCCUGUCUCCGCCUCCCAAAAUGUCUAGUGUAUUCGGAUUGGUCAGAUGACUACUCAACUGUUAUUGGUCAACUGGGUUCGGCGUGUGUUUGAAAGGUUACGCCCCUGACUACGCGUGGGUUUUCCGGUUCUGACUGAGAGUCACAGGCAACGUAAACAAGCGCUAUAUUUCUCUAUAAACGAUGGUGUCUGUACUGCCUUACCACUUCGAGCUCGAUCCAGAGAGUUCAGAAGGCCGUUACAAUAUAAACGAUCUCCGUCAAUGAACGCGAUUGGAUUUAACUUUUUUAGGUGUCCUUAGCUCUGCCAGAAUGCUAAACGAAGACGAAAAUGUGUUGCAAAGACAUCCAAAAGGUUUUAAGGAGAAUGCAACAGGUUCCAGGGCUUCUUACCUGCGUGAUUCAUCAUCCAGGUUUUGCACAAAUUGUCUAAAUCCCUACACACAGAACAUUUAUUGUACCGACUAUAAGCCUUUGAGGUGCAGGACUAGAAUACGCUUGGAGCUUCCUGAUCAGAUCGGUCACAAUUUUGGCUUUCGACGACCCCUGCACUGAAGAUGGCAUGCAAUCACGUCCUCCUUUGAAGGUCUCUCAAACUGUGAUGCCAGGUCCAUUGGAAUCAGGGCUUCCUUCAGCUUAUCUUCAAAUACCUCAUCAAAUACAAGCCUGAUCACAUCAUCCACAUAACUGUAGAAAUAUUGCAGUCAAUAAAUCUUUUGUUUUGAUCAUUUAUUUCCCUGCUUCAUACAUUAAGUUUUUAAUUAUGAAUGUAUUUGAAAUAAAACAUUACUGCUUACGGUAUGUCACUUGUGUGUUUUGGGAACAUAGCCUUGUACUUUCCCUCUCCUGCUUUUGUUACG